GAGUUUGAUCAUGGCUCAGGAUGAACGCUAGCGACAGGCUUAACACAUGCAAGUCGAGGGGCAGCACAGGUAGCAAUACCGGGUGGCGACCGGCGCACGGGUGAGUAACGCGUAUGCAACUUGCCUAUCAGAGGGGGAUAACCCGGCGAAAGUCGGACUAAUACCGCAUGAAGCAGGGGCCCCGCAUGGGGAUAUUUGCUAAAGAUUCAUCGCUGAUAGAUAGGCAUGCGUUCCAUUAGGCAGUUGGCGGGGUAACGGCCCACCAAACCGACGAUGGAUAGGGGUUCUGAGAGGAAGGUCCCCCACAUUGGUACUGAGACACGGACCAAACUCCUACGGGAGGCAGCAGUGAGGAAUAUUGGUCAAUGGGCGUAAGCCUGAACCAGCCAAGUCGCGUGAGGGAUGAAGGUUCUAUGGAUCGUAAACCUCUUUUAUAAGGGAAUAAAGUGCGGGACGUGUCCCGUUUUGUAUGUACCUUAUGAAUAAGGAUCGGCUAACUCCGUGCCAGCAGCCGCGGUAAUACGGAGGAUCCGAGCGUUAUCCGGAUUUAUUGGGUUUAAAGGGUGCGUAGGCGGCCUUUUAAGUCAGCGGUGAAAGUCUGUGGCUCAACCAUAGAAUUGCCGUUGAAACUGGGAGGCUUGAGUAUGUUUGAGGCAGGCGGAAUGCGUGGUGUAGCGGUGAAAUGCUUAGAUAUCACGCAGAACCCCGAUUGCGAAGGCAGCCUGCCAAGCCAUGACUGACGCUGAUGCACGAAAGCGUGGGGAUCAAACAGGAUUAGAUACCCUGGUAGUCCACGCAGUAAACGAUGAUCACUAGCUGUUUGCGAUACACAGUAAGCGGCACAGCGAAAGCGUUAAGUGAUCCACCUGGGGAGUACGCCGGCAACGGUGAAACUCAAAGGAAUUGACGG
rnacentral:rRNA from 1 species